AGAGAGAGACAUGCGCGCAUAUCAAUAAGCGGAGGAAAAGAAACUAACAAGGAUUCCCCUAGUAACGGCGAGUGAAGCGGGAAGAGCUCAAAUUUGAAAUCUUAAAGGGUUUCCCUUUACGAAUUGUAGUUUAAAGAAGUGUUUUCUGUUGAGGUUUUGGUAAAAGUUCUUUGGAAUAGGACAUCAUAGAGGGUGAGAAUCCCGUAUUUGACCUUUACUUUCAACUUUGUGAUACACUUUCAAAGAGUCGGAUUGUUUGGGAAUGCAGUCCAAAAUGGGUGGUAAAUUUCAUCUAAAGCUAAAUAUUGGCGAGAGACCGAUAGCGAACAAGUACCGUGAGGGAAAGAUGAAAAGAACUUUGAAAAGAGAGUUAAACAGUACGUGAAAUUGUCAAAAGGGAAGCGUUUGACACCAGUGUUGUUUUUCUGAAAAUCAAUUAAAGAACUGUUUGAUGCUAAGUUGUUUAGACUUUAUCAGCUAACUGUUUAGUUUUGAGCUUUUCUUUAAUGCACUUUUCAGUUAACAAGUCAACAUCAAUUUCUUUUGCUGUAAAAAAGCUUGAGGAAGGUGGCUUGAGAUUCGUCUUAAGUGUUUAUAGCCUCUUGCCUAUGCAGUCGGAGAGAUUGAGGUCUGCAGCGUAGAUCCUUCGGGGCUAAAUGCAUUUGUGCUAAGUUAUAGCAUUUUAUAGACAACUUGUUGACUAUGAUUUGUCUUGUAGCUUACUCGCUUAUGUUAUUUUACCUACGCUUAGGAUGUUGACGCAUGAGAUAUACGC
rnacentral:rRNA from 1 species